rnacentral:rRNA from 1 species
AGAGUUUGAUCAUGGCUCAGAAUGAACGCUGGCGACGUGCCUAACACAUGCAAGUCGAACGGGAAAGCCCUUCGGGGUAAGUAGAGUGGCAAACGGGUGAGUAACACGUAAGAAUCUACCCUUCAGUGGAGAAUACCUCUGAGAAAUUAGAGUUAAUACUGCAUACGUCUCUACGGAGAGAAAGGUGGCAUACGCUAUCGCUGGGGGAUGAGCUUGCGGCCUAUUAGCUAGUUGGAGAGGUAAAAGCUCACCAAGGCAAAGAUGGGUAACCGGCCUGAGAGGGUGUACGGUCACACUGGAACUGAGACACGGUCCAGACUCCUACGGGAGGCAGCAGUGGGGAAUAUUGCACAAUGGGCGCAAGCCUGAUGCAGCGACGUCGCGUGGAGGAAGAAGGUUUUCGGAUUGUAAACUCCUGUUAAACGGGAAGAAAGACUCAAGGCUAAUAUCCUUGGGGGAUGACGUUACCGUUAAAGAAAGCACCGGCUAACUUCGUGCCAGCAGCCGCGGUAAUACGAAGGGUGCGAGCGUUAUUCGGAAUAACUGGGCGUAAAGGGCGCGUAGGCGGUUUACUAAGUCGUUUGUCAAAUUCCAUGGCUUAACUAUGGAUGCGCAGGCGAAACUGGUAGACUAGAGGGUAGCAGAGAGGAGUGGAAUUCUCGGAGUAGCGGUAAAAUGCGUAGAUCUCGAGAGGAACACCAAUGGCGAAGGCAGCUCCUUGGGCUACAUCUGACGCUGAGGCGCGAAAGCGUGGGGAGCAAACAGGAUUAGAUACCCUAGUAGUCC